ensembl:lncRNA
GGAAAGGAGAGUGAGAAUGGAAAGAGAGAGAGACAGUCAGAGACACAGGCAGGGUCAGAGAGAAAACAAAAGAGAGAAAAGAGAGAGAGACAAACAGAAAGACAGGGAGUGGAGAGAGAGAAAGGCAAACAGAAUCACAGAGAGGUAGAGAGAGAGAGAGAGAGAGAGAGAGACAGAAUGAGAGAGAGAGAGAGAGAGAGACAGAAUGAGAGAGAGAGAGAGAGGGAGAGAGAGCGAGAGAGAGAGAGGCAAACAGAAUCACAGAGUGACAGAGAGGUAGAGAGAGAGAGACAGAAUGAGAGAGAGAGAGAGAGAGCGAGAGAGGCAAACAGAAUCACAGAGUGACAG